CGUUCACAUUGUUAGAGUUUGGAGCUGAGGUCACAAACUGGUCAAUGAACUCACAAGUGUAGGUGGCGUGCUAAAUGAGUGGCAAGGUUCUCACUAACAUCCCACUCUGAUCCAGUGAGUAGUGUUUGAUAGUAACCUUUAUCACAAAA